UACGGAGGGGGCUAGCGUUGUCCGGAAUUAUUGGGCGUAAAGAGCUCGUAGGCGGUCUGUUACGUCUGCUGUGAAAACCCAGGGCUUAACCCUGGGCUUGCAGUGGAUACGGGCAGACUAGAGGCAGGUAGGGGAGACUGGAAUUCCUGGUGUAGCGGUGAAAUGCGCAGAUAUCAGGAGGAACACCGAUGGCGAAGGCAGCUCGCUGGGACGUGACUGACGCUGAGACGCGAAAGCGUGGGGAGCAAACAGG
rnacentral:rRNA from 1 species